rnacentral:rRNA from 1 species
CCUACGGGUGGCUGCAGUGGGGAAUAUUGCACAAUGGGCGCAAGCCUGAUGCAGCCAUGCCGCGUGUGUGAAGAAGGCCUUCGGGUUGUAAAGCACUUUCAGCGGGGAGGAAGGCGGUGAGGUUAAUAACCUCAUCGAUUGACGUUACCCGCAGAAGAAGCACCGGCUAACUCCGUGCCAGCAGCCGCGGUAAUACGGAGGGUGCAAGCGUUAAUCGGAAUUACUGAGCGUAAAGCGCACGCAGGCGGUCUGUCAAGUCGGAUGUGAAAUCCCCGGGCUCAACCUGGGAACUGCAUUCGAAACUGGCAGGCUAGAGUCUUGUAGAGGGGGGUAGAAUUCCAGGUGUAGCGGUGAAAUGCGUGGAGAUCUGGAGGAAUACCGGUGGCGAAGGCGGCCCCCUGGACAAAGACUGACGCUCAGGUGCGAAAGCGUGGGGAGCAAACAGGAUUAGAUACCCUAGUAGUC